ACACUGAAGCACCCCUACAUAU
rnacentral:sRNA from 1 species